rnacentral:rRNA from 1 species
UACGUAGGGCGCAAGCGUUAUCCGGAAUUAUUGGGCGUAAAGAGCUCGUAGGCGGUUUGUCGCGUCUGCCGUGAAAGUCCGGAGCUCAACCUCGGGCCUGCAGUGGGUACGGGCAGACUAGAGUGCGGUAGGGGAGAUUGGAAUUCCUGGUGUAGCGGUGGAAUGCGCAGAUAUCAGGAGGAACACCAAUGGCGAAGGCAGAUCUCUGGGCCGUAACUGACGCUGAGGAGCGAAAGCAUGGGGAGCGAACAGG